rnacentral:rRNA from 1 species
UGAGGAAUAUUGGUCAAUGGGCGCAAGCCUGAACCAGCCAUCCCGCGUGAAGGAAGAAGGCGCUAUGCGUUGUAAACUUCUUUUCCAGGGGGAGAAUUUUUCCGUCGUGACGGGAAUUGACGGUACUCUGUGAAUAAGCAUCGGCUAACUCCGUGCCAGCAGCCGCGGUAAUACGGAGGAUGCGAGCGUUAUCCGGAUUUAUUGGGUUUAAAGGGUGCGUAGGCGGAUUGAUAAGUCAGUGGUGAAAGGCUGCAGCUUAACUGUAG